UAUAAAUAACCAUGAUGCCCCCAAAUUAAACUUUUAGUGGCGUUUAGAGUGAAAACUCCGCAAAGGUUGAACUUUUAGCGAUGUUUAUAUCGAAAAACUCCACACAGAAGAACGCCGUAAUAAGUCAUUCUAUAGUGGCGUAUAUGGAAAUAGCGCCAUAAAAGGUAAAGAAAUAGUGGCGGUUUUUCCUAAACGCCGCCAAAGGUAGAAAGGAAAAUGGGAAAGAAAAUUGCGAUUGACGACACAAAACAAAGCAGGAGCAACUUAGCUGAUCUCCGUCUCCCUGCCUCAAGAGAAAAAGGAAGUAUCUGAGAGAGGGAGAUACAUUGCCAUGAUUCUCGUGGUUUUAUUCGCCAAUUCUGAAGGCAACAUCUUAGUUGAACGGUCUGUUUACAUUUUUUACAUGACGCUUGAAGAUGUCAACGUCUAUGUUGUUGGCAAAGAUGAGUAUGAUGAACUUGCAUGUGAUCUUUGUUAUAACCUUAGCUGUAAAGGAUGUAAGUGGGAAGCUACCAACAAAGCGACUUUUUCUAGAUAAAUACAGAAGGAAAUGCUUGACUUUGGAUGAAAUUAUUUGAAAGGGAUAUUUGGAGAACAUGGAUAAAGAUAGGAUCAGGAGAUUAGUACGUUUAAAACCUCCAACUGAGUUUUAGGCUGAGAACACCCUAUUGUCACAGCCCAUUUGGAGGUAGUAGAUUCAAAGUCCUGUACUCUGUUGAAAGGCAUGGAUUUAUUUUUGAAGGUCUCAACAACCUACCAAAUUUUGGCGCUGUUGCUGGUGAAAUUGAAUUUGAUCUUAAAAUUGAGAAAACUGUAAAACGAUUAAGAAAAGAGGCUAAGUAUCACAAACGAGUUUCACGGUCCUCAAUUCCUCUCUUGCAAACUGUAGAAGAAGAAGAAGAAUCAAUUCAUUCAACUAGAAAUUCUAAAGAAGAAGUUAUGGCCGAGCAAAAUCUACGACAAUUGAACGCACUAAAUGUUGCGUAACAACCACUGUAUAUUGAUUAUCGCAAUCAGAGGUGCCGUUUGCACUUAAGUGUGGGCUUAUCCAUUUACUCCCGACCUUCUGUGGACUUGAGAAUAAAUAUCCUCACAAACAUUUGAAGGAGUUCCACAUCGUUUGUUUGAGCAUGAGACUGCAAAACAUCACCGAAGAUCAAAUCAAACUACGUGCCUCCUAUUUUCAUUAGCCGACCAUGCAAAAGAUUGGUUAUUCUACUUGCCUUCUAGAUCAUUUAACUUAUGGCAAGGCUUUUCCUUGGCAAACAUUUUCUUGCCUCACUAGCCGCUGAUAACACUUGAAAAGAAUUAUAAUUCAGGCCUCUAAACUGAAGUAUUUUCUUGUAAUUAAGAAAAUAUGCUUGCAUUUUAGACUUAUUACUAGGGCAUUACAUACUAAAUCUUGAAUUGUGUUUAACUAUAAAUUUAUGUUACUUUUAAUUGCUGGAAAGAGGUUUGGUAGUCUUUGGUAGUAGGUGCAGGUAGGAUGAAAGAGGUAAGAAGAGGGAAAAAAAAAACGAAAGAGGUGAAACAUUGCCAUGGCAAAUGGUAGGAUAGAUUGUCAACAUAAAUGUCAUGAAAAUUCUAGGAAGAUGACGUAACACUCAAUCCACUCACUUUCAGCCAGUUGUACGUGUACUAGAUAAAUCACCCUGAAAAGAUGAGCAAAAUAAGUGUGCUGAGAGGGACAUAUCUACCCUAUAAAAGGAGUAGAGAGAAGAGAAGAAGGACACAUGGAUUGUGAGGAGAAAAGAAAAGAAAGAGAGCGGUUUCUCUCUCUACAACAAAAUCUUGAGGAGAAAUUGCGUGGAAAGUUCAGUAGAGAAGAAGAAGAUAUCAGCUAAAAAGAGGAGAUCAUAGACGUGAAGAAAUGGAAGAGAAAUCUGCCCUGAGUUUUGCGUAAAAUCUUGAUAAGAAGCUGAAGUGCAAUGAGAGCUUCCUGUAGUUCUGCCUUUGUUCUAUUUUUCUUGGUUUUAAUUUCUGUGAUUCGUAAAACUUGAAGAAUGUUGAUGAAUGAUUUAAUUUUGGAUUUCAUUGCCCAACCCAUGAGCUAAUUAUGUUUGGGUUGGAAUUAUUUGGGUGAAUAUUGAAUUAUCUAUAAUGCCCAUGAUAUGAUUUUGAUUAAAA